ensembl:lncRNA
UCCAGAAAUGUUCUUGACUCAUUGAACUACGUUUUACAAACAAAAAAUAUAAAGGAAAACAAAGUUAAGAAAAAUAUAGAUAAAAUGUUUUAGUAAUGUAUCUCUCCUUUUAAUUUGAGAUGCAGCUGUGAUAAAAUAAGUUAAAUAAUAAAUCACUAAACAAGGAGAUUCUAGCGCUAAAGAAAACCUUUAUGAAGACAAAAUGGCCCGGUUACAACACUGUCUGCACUCACACAUAGAAAGGGGAGGGAGGCUGGAAGUGACUGUUAGCUACAGUUGCCACGCUGGUCAACAGGCUGCCGCAAUGUGCACCCAGGGGGGCGACCAGCCAGGCGGACCCCCAAAACGCUGUCAGCACUGUCAGUCUUCCCUCCCUGCUUCAACAGGCGACACAGGCCAAGAACAACAUUCAGUAUAAAAGGCAGCCAGCCUCUGAUGAACAUAAGUAGGCUCGCCUUUAAUAAAGACCACAUGAAUAAGGAACACAGUUACUCAAUUUAAAAUCGACACGAAAGAGUCAGAGUUACUUGUUUACAAAACCCAUGACCAUCAAAGUGACACGCACUAUAUGACAAAGAACAUUAAUUCAGACUCCAGUAGGGCCUGCUAACAGCCUGGUCCUCAGCCACGGGAUGCCCAUCUCUACCUGCAAAAGGAAAUGAUGUGGCCCACGGCCCAUUCACGCCAUUCUAUCACAGCUAUUAAGGCUUAAGCAGAACUGGAAAAUGACUCCAUUGGCAUUAACGGUCACCCUCAAUCAUUUUAAUACUCAUAAUCAUGAGACUUUCUAAUAUUAUUUUUAAAAGCCUGUGAAGAAAAGGAAAAGGAAUUUCAUUUCCUUCGCCUAAUAAUCUUAAAAUGAGAGAGAAAAGGUAAAUGGAGGAGAAAGUGAUAUCUUAUGAGACAAGAAAGGGACAUGGUCAACUCUAACCCCGCCCCGGCCCCCUCCUCCACCCAUUUCACCACCACACACCUCCUGCUGUCUGCAGCAUCUCUGUGUGCUGCAGCGUCACCAUGUUACAAGUUACCAGCAAUAAACAAGGAAGACAUAUAAUGUGUGUGAUUGCUGACUGACUGUGUUACUGCUAAAAAGGCAUCUUCAUACAGCUGUUGUUUACCCUUCUUAACCUCACCACCCCUCCUGUGCUUCAAAUAGCCAGCUCUGGGUACAAUUCAUUCCAGACUUAACAAUCUCAGAUGUUUCCUCCUCUCUUCUCCACUGUUUUUAAACUUUCAAUUUUCCUGAAUAGUAUUAUAAUGCAUUAUUAAUAUCUCUGAAUUAUUACUCAUUUCCCCCUUAAAAUGGAGUGCUUUAAUUCACAUUUGAUGUACUCAUCAAGGCUGUGCAGUGAAAUGAAUGUGGAAGGAUACAUUAUAUUUGCAAAAAUGCAAAGAGUGAAUUAAAAAUAUAUAGCAAUACUAAAAUAUUAACUAUUAAUUUUCAAAAGAUAAUUUGCCUUGGAAAAAAUCAUUUUCCUUUCUUCCAUGACUCUUUCUUUUUUCAGUUUACCGGUCUGAUCGCAGGCCUUUGAAUAAUAUGCAAUCGUUAUGUACUGAAUAUUCACAAAUACAAUGAACAUUGUUUUUCACUUUCAGGGCAUAACAUGGUGCCUGGGUACAGUGCCUCAGAGGUGAUGCAAAUCCAUGUCCACCAAGGAAUCAGAUGGUGCUUCAGUCACCAAUAGCAGAACAUUGCACAAAAUAAAAAUAGAUAAAAAACCUGAUAGUCACUAACCCUAUUUCUCAUUUGCGUCCUCUGUUUUUGCAUUUCUUUUUUCAAUAGUGAACUUUAAUUCACCCUUGAAAGCUUGACCUUGUUCUGUGUGGCAGGAGAUAGCCGCAGCAUGAAGACAGGACGCCACUUAUCAUCAAGGGACGAGGUGGCUGUUUAAUUUCACACCACCAGUGGCUGAAAUCCCAGUUGGUGUGAAGCAUCACAAUGGCAGCUACGCUGGGGGAGCAGAUGUCCUCGUGAAGGGGUGUAAAGAGGGAGGAGGUUAGAUUGGGAGAAGGACACGAGAGGAGGAAUGGUAGUCUGUGUGUGUGUGUGUGUGUGUGUGUGUGUGUGUGUGUGUGUGUGCUCUGACCCCGUGCACACGCCCCGAUAAACAACGCCUGUGCUCCGGAAAAAAAAAACACACACACACACACACACACACACACACACGUCACUGUCGAAUUUGAUAAUAUAGCUGUAGCCUAUUGGCUGUGUCAGAAGUAAGCAGGAUGACCACAAGGGGACACAGUAGUCUGUGGAGAAGACAAACAAGCGCCGUGGUGCAGCUGUGGCGGCUGAGAAGAGAGUUCAGUAGCACAGUCCACGACACAGAGGCCAACAUCGCUGAGAGCCCAAUCGCUUUCUGAAGAGCUUCCCAUCGUCUGCAGUGAUGAACUUGAGCUCUGGCCUCCAACCCGGGGGUCUUUCCGUCUAAUCCUGCGUGCCCCUGGCUCCCCUCCACAGCCUCUCUCUCUCCCUCUCUCUCGCUCUCCCACACACACACGCACACAGGCAUGGACACAUGGACAGACAUAAUACACACUUUGCAACUGACGGUGACAUGACUGCAGGGUUGAACAGUGACCGGCGCCUCCCAACACAGCUGAAUAUAAAACACAUUAAUGAGCGCGGCAAGAAAAUGGCUUCUCUCUCUCAAACAUGGCUGCUUACUGAUGGCCAGACGUGAGCCGUGGACAAAAGGGUCACCUCUCUCAGCUUUUGGUACACACAGCCCCCCUGUUUUUUUUCAUUAUUCUUAUCCCUCUCCCCCCCUUUUCAUCUCUUGCCUCCCUCGCUAACACCUACCCUCCCUGGUCAUUUUCCUUACCCUAUUUCGUAUGCGGAUGUAGGCUUAUUAUCGAAGAGACAAAGGAAGGGGGUCUUGGGAAGAGACAGUUUGCCGUGUCUGAGUGAUGAGAAAUAUUGCAAAACUAAAGUCUAGCCCCUAACAAACUGUCCUUCAAAAAAAAAAAAAAAAAAAAAGCAAAGAAAGAAACCAAAAACGCCUGCCAUCUUCUAUUUGGCACCGCUCAGCAGGAACAGGAGAAACCACCACUCCCAUUUCUCCCCAGUAUGAUUUCAAAUUCCCUCUGAGCACCCCAGUCCAGUCAGAUAUAUUCAUUUUUCUCCUUACUCCCCCAGUGUCAUUUUUCUCUAUUUUCUCCAUCGGUCUGUCUUGCACAGAAUGUUCCAAAUGCAUUUGCAAUGCUUGAUUUCUAUUUUUAUACAAUCAGGACCAGGUUAAAGAAUAUAAAUGUUUAUUCAGCAGAGUGGGUGAUGCCGUUGAACGGGUGCUGUGGCUCUCGGGGGGACAGAGACAAUGCUAAAUAAGUGAAUCACUCCAUCUGGAAGACGAACGCCAUGUUUUGGAGUUCAUUGCCUAUACCGUCUGGGGGCGAGCGUCCGGUGAGGCGGCGGCGGGCCCAGCAGGCCGGAGCGAAGGUGCCUGCUGAUGUCGAUGGUUACAGAGGGAUAACAAUGUGGCGACCAGAGGUUUGGCUACCUUCCGCUCACCCUGUCCACCCUGCAGGGAGACGGCCCGGUGCCGAACGCAGCCAUUUGGCCGUCCUCGCUCGGUGCCAUCACAAGGCCUGCUGUGUGAUUUGACUAAAGUGCUACUUUGAAAGAGCUCGGGUGUGAAAAUGGUCACGGUUUCAUGUCUUCUGGGACUUUCGUCUUUUUCUGUUUCAGUCGGCAGCAUGUUGGACUGUCCAACUAUGAAAAGACUCACCUUUCUAAUCCCACUAAUAUUAUUGCCGACUAUUGCCAACCAAAAGUCAAGCACAGAAAACAUAUAGAUUAUCAGAAUAACUGUUCCAAAAUAUUAAAAUCCCGUAACAUAUAAAUUAGUCAGUUCAAAGCAUGUGGAAGAUCUACCACUUGCUUCAACCCCAUGCCGGUAUGUACUAUUGUUCAAGCCACUCCCGCUGUGGAAAAGCCAAAAUACAUACGUUGCUUCUUCAGCAGCGGACGUAUUUUUUAUUUCAGCGCCAGAAAACAACUGCUGUACUACCAUAGAUGUAAUAGGUAGAUUAACCAAAUAGGUUAUAAAAUACCAAAGAUAGCUGUUCAUAAGAAAUAAAAUAGACGGUGUUCCUCAUUUUACGUUUUUCUCAAAUAUUUUGGAAAUUAAGUACAGUGCCCGAAAAACAACCGGGCGCUCCAAGCUUACUGAUGAUGCUUUAACAAGUGUUCAAGACAUCCGUAAUAAGAAAAGAGGACUCAUUUUUAAGAAUUUACAAUAGGUUUUUGUUCCUUUUGUAUCAAAUGUCUAUUCCACUAACAAUAUGCAAAGGUAACUUGUGUUAAUAUGAUUAGAACUAUGUGAAAGAAAACACACAAAUACUUAAUCCUUAAUGAAAGGAUGCCAAUAGUUCUACUCACCUCACCUGCACCUCAAACUGCAAUUUGACGCUAAAGACAUUUAAGCUGGUUGAUGGACUUCAUCAAAAUGACAGGCAAUUAGAGCGGCUCUGACGAUGGGUUUGUACGCGAAAUGAGAGCGGUGGGAGCCAUACAUGUUAAAUAAAUGGGAGCGAGAGUUCUGGAGCUCCAUCUCUGCUCCUGGACAGCCCUAAAUUAAAUAUCCAAGUCCAUUAGGCUAAACACCCCGAGGAAAGACUUUGUCCCACCACAGAAAAAUGACACUAAACUCAGGCAAUCAUGCCGCCAAUCAAUUAUGCAAGAAUUAUAUUUUUCUUAUAGACUAUAUAAAAUAUCUUGUGUUAAUUCCCUUAAGUAUUCAAGACCCAUUCAUUUACGGCGACGAAUAAGUAUGCGUAACGUUCUAAAUGAGUGUUUUCCCAAAGAUUUAUCAUCCUGCCAACUGAAAUGAAAACACUGAGACCGAGUUGGGAUUCCUCCAUAUCAACUGAAACUGCAGGGGCCACAGGCAAAGCUGGGAGGCACGGCGUUUUGAUAACCUGCAUGGCUGUAAAUCUAUUGAUAGAAAACAUCCCCAGAAACUAAGAAAACAUCGCGGUGUGCCAGUAAGCUCUUUCAUAUCAACUUCAGAGCGCUUUAAGAGGAAAACAAAAUGCUGACAGAGACGGGUAGCAGUGGGGUGGGGGGAAGACAGAGAGAGGUCGGGGUGGGAGGGUGGGGGUCGGCAUUGACCUAACCUGUCUCGGGCUAUGGGCCUGUUGAGCUAGUGAAUAGUGGGAGUCCCUCAGGUCCCCACCGGGGCCCCAGAUCUCUGAUAAUGACCGCUGUCUGGCCAUGAUAGCAGGAGACAGGUAUUGGCAUGCCCACUGAUCAGUGUCAGUGUGGGGCCAAUAAUUGGUCAGUGGGUUAUUAACAAGUAACCUAGAGGCUGUAAACUGCCCGACGUAAGCUCCCCAGCCUCCGUGUUGGAGAAGUUACAGUGUCGCACAACAUAAACGUGAGUAUUUAAAGCUGUACUCAGACUAAUUGCAUCACAGACACAUACUGGAAUGAAUAUUUCUCGCUCGCUCUUCUUUUAAACUUCACUGACGUUAGUUCCUGAUGAUCCCACCAGUGGUCCCCUCUUAUGUUACAUGCAACACAAUCCAGCCUAACACACUAAUUUGUUUUCUUUGGCUCUUUUUCUGUUUCGCUGUGUAACUGAGCCCUUGAAUAUAUAAAUUGAAUAGAGCUAAUAGAAUCAUUAUCAAAUUCAGAUCAAUAUAAAUUUAGCCCCAGUAGCCAUAAAAGGCAGCUAUAUUGAAAUACAACACUGUCUGAUCGUUCAUUCUUCCUCCUACAACUGAUGCUUGCUCCCAUCAAACAUGAAUUACCAGACAGGCACAUUACAGCUAAUAAGACUCUCACAAAACAUCCUUUUAUUAAUGCAUGAGAGUCUUUGAUCCUUGAGAAAGUUGUAUGGGGAAAGCGGUAAUCACUGUACCUCAGACAACACAAUGAGAAGCUUCCCAUUACCUUGACAGAGUCAAGAAUGUGUUUGAGGUCAAAUCAUCUGGAGCUGGUCCAUCGUGUGUGUGUGUGUGUGUGUGUGUGUGUGUGGAGGGACAAUACAAAGCUGCCAUUGCUUUUAGUCAGUUUUACCAAACUAGAACUUAUUUGUAAAAGUGUAUUAGUGUUUCAUUAAGGAUUUUAACUCAAUCGUACGUGGAUGUAGUUAUGAUGAUCAAUGAUUCAGUUAAGGAGGAAUAUAUAGAGCAGUUGAAAGCUUUUGCAUUACAGCAAUGACCAAUAGUUGGCUAACAAAUGUCUACAUUUCAGUUUCAGGUGUGAAAUCCCUUCAUGGAUCACGGUUUCAUGAUAAUUAUAUUUAUAUGUUUUAGUGCACAAGUGCUUUUUUAAGGAUUGAUUAAGCAAGAAUCAGCUGGAGAAAUAACAAAGACCCAAACAUCUUGAAUAAAAUAGACCAAACGAAAUGUGGCCAAUAUUUACCUCCAACAUAACUGAUAUCUUCAUGAUCAGCCGCACUGUAUAUGGUUUUACACUGCAUUUAGUUUGAUAAACUCAAGGAAAGUUAACUUUCCUGAUUUAAUAGGAAACAAUAUUCUGAAAGUCUUUCCAUCCCUUCAGCAUACCUCUCAGUAACAGCAUUACAGCCCUCACAAAUGAUCCAGCGGAGGACAUUUUUGGUUUAACUUCUAUUCCAAUAAUCUAGAUUUUGACGGAGCCUGUCACAUUAUAAAGUCUGAACAUAGUUACAAGAAUCGUAAAUGAUACCUGCUAUGAUUGAGUUUUAUUGAAGUGGUCAGCCAGUAGCUCAUUCCCCACAGAAAGCUUGAGGGCCCGACGGUGGUCAGUGAGGAGCGGCAGCACGACACCUCGCUACUGUUCCAUACGUGGAGAGGAGAUGCACAGGAGAGAACGUCCAUUGGAGGGAUAGAAGUGCCACCACAGAAAAGAAAAACAACUUACACUACAUCUUUUUUUAAAGGAAUCAGGCUUACAUAAAGCUUAUGGUAUCUUUGAAGACAAUUUCUGAAUAGAUUAUAUUAUUUGCUACCGUCCAAAUUCAGUAAAAUCAGAGUAACUCGUUUUCAGAUAAAACUCGUAGCAGCUGAUCAGAUGACACAUUGAAAAAGAGCAGAAAUUUGAAAAGUAAUAGUCACAGACAACAAAUCAUCCGCAAACAUGAAUUCAAUGAGGGUUUUUUGACCUCCACUGCAGAAGCAGCCCAAUCAACCGAAGGGUCAGGGGUCAAGUCUGGAUAGAGACGGCAUCUCAAACCGGCCACAACAAUUGUAGAAGAACAUCUGCUCUCUGUGCGUCACACAAAGCUGUCCCCUCAGAGUCCCUGAAGAGCCUGGGAACGGCUCAAAGUCAAGGGCAGCCUCCCCAGAUCAAAUGCUGACUGGACACAAUCUCUUACAGUGCAAGGCAAAGCCUUUUAUUGUUCAGUGAAGUGUACACAAGUCCAGAUUGAUUGCCAGUGACAUUGUUUAAUCUCAUUGUACGUCAUAAUUAUUCAUUUCGUGAUAAACAAGCUGCUGAUAAUUCCGAUGGUGGCCCAAAAUGACUGAAAAGGGACUAGAAUGAAGGUGGAAGGCUUUUCUUGUUGGUGCAGGUUAAAGGCGGCCGCUCGGGGUGCAGGGCGUGGUACUCUUUUUCAACACGAGUAACCUUUGAAUAUGCAUGUGCUACAACACACAUACGCUGCCCACAUGACAGAGUUCAUCCCGCUACGCUUUCACUCACUUUUCUUGGCAGCUUAACAAUAUGCUUGAAACGAACCGCCAAAUGAUGUCAAUAGUUGGAUCAAUAGCCUGGGAUGUCUAUGGUUUUCCCUGCAGCAAAUGAAGAGCAUUAUACAGAACCUCCUGGGCAGAGCUCUUACCACACUCCCAGAAGCUACGUACUGUACAUCUGCUGCGGGAGGGACAGCUGAUGCAUGUCUCUCCUCCCAGACAUCGCCACAUGUGUGCCACAUUUCCCCCCGUCUGUCUAAUGUGCCGCUGAUCUACACCUGCUGGGCCCAGAGGAGCAUAGGUGUACGCCGUUCGCUCAGAGCAUCAAUCACUCAGCGGGCCUUAUUAUUGCCAUUUAAAAUACAUUUAAACCUAUUCACCGGAGCCAAUGUCCAACCCCGUGCGGACGCAAUGAUACUGAUGCCUCACUGUGAAAAAUGUUUCACAGCAGUGUUUGGAUGGAAGCAGCUGGGAACCUCUGCGCUCCACUGUUUUGAUUCUGUAAGUGAGCAAAAAGUCAUUUAAUCAGCGCAUCCUUGUCAAAAAUAAAUAUAUUAAAAUGUAAUUUGUUCCCAUACAAAAGGAACCCUGAAUUCUGCUCCGCUUUAACAGCAUUUAAAUGUCAGCUCGCCCGGCCAGCCUGUCCUGGAGUAAUCUAUAAGACAGGACCGGGCUUUGGAGAACUGAUACAUGCUCCUGAGCUCUUAGGUGAGCUUAGUAAUAGACACAGUCACUCUAAUUCCCUUUCAAUUCUCACCCAAAAUUGAAAGCUGCCAAAUGCAGCCUUAAUUACAUACUACCCAAUCAGAGCUUAAGUGUAACCUUUUGCCCCCCCCAGCCCAGCCUAGCCCACCCUCACAGACAUCCUCCUCUUUCCAGUCCGUCUCCCUCUCUGAGAGACGAAGGAAGGCAGCGUGUGCCUCCUGAGGUCUGAACAUAUAUUACCGGGGGAGUAAACAGGUCUCGGGGAUAUUAGAUGGAUACAUUAUGUAUAUACAGCAGGCGGAGUGUGAGAUUUAAGGAGCAACCUGCUUGGUCAGCAAACAGUGUGCUAAAAACGCAAGCAGAUCAAGGAACAUGCAGGGUUAUGGAUCUCCACUAGCAUGUUACUGGGCAAGGUCUAUUGACUCAAAUUGAAUUAUUUUAGCUUCCCCCCAUUCCCUUCCCCCUUGCUGUUCCAUUAACAUUGACAUGCAUCCUGUCCUGGUUCUUAAUAUCUGUACGUCCUUUGCUACUUCAUACCUCUUACUGAAAUCUGGUGAUUUUGGUUCGUUGAUAAAAGACAUCACAUCCAUUCAUAUACAGUACUUAAAACAAUUCAAAUAAUUGGUCCCAAACAUAAAUAUUUAACAGGUGCAUUCCAGCGAUUGUCGCUCUAUUUGUCCUUCUGUCUUGGCCGCCUGCAGCAAAUGAAAGGCAUCUCUCCCGAGCGGACGGAUGUAACAGGGACGUCUCAAGGCAACAGCAGCAGACGUCAGCUAUUUUCCAUACUCUCCACUCACAUGAUCAGGGUGUCGGCACCGCAUCCUCAGCGCAGGGAGGGGCCAAGCAGCGCACAGCGCACCACCAUUUUGUGUGGGUACCUGGCUGCUUAUGUGUGAGUACCUGGCUCGUCUGCUCGACUGCACAAGUGUUCAAAUUUCAGAACGGGUCGAGUGUUAUUUGUGACGGCGUUUCCUUCGGUGCAUUUGUGCAACGGUAAACGCGUUGAUGGGGCGCGUUGCCAAAGCGGCGUAAGCAGAUGCUGCAGAGUAUCGGCGAGCCGCGACUGCAGUCCAUUCUGGAUUGCAUGUUGUGCCUUCUCUUCCUCCCUCCCGCCUCGUGGCUGUGCUCCCGGCAGACCCCUCUCCUCCCCGCCAUCCGAUGUGUGAGCCGCAUAUGGUGCAGUGAAAUUGCUGUCUGCGAGAGCAUGCCUCUGCCUGUCCAGACUUCAUCACAAGGAUUAAAGAAUGGGAUGGCGGGGGGGGGAGAAAAAAAAAUCAGAAUAAAAUGAUGAAAGCGGGGCCAUGGCUUUUCUCUUUUUUUCUCCACACCCCUAACUCAACCUCCCUGUUGUAUUUUAGGUAGAGUGCAACAUCAGAUGACAGAGGAGGCUCUCCUGCUGACAUACAACGGUUGGCAGGAAAAUGUUGGCCGGUCGGUGAGCUGCACUGGGUUUAUUUUACUGUGACAAGGGCUAACUACAAAAGAAAACCAAAUUACAGACAGCACUGUUCCUCCUUCUAUCCAGCCACUGAAGUUUACUUAAAAGCUGCAUCCAAUUAAAAUAAAAGUGACUCAGGGGUGCAGCAGCAGCUUUCUUUCAUGAUUACUUUCCUCUCUGAUGUCUCCUCUUUAAAAUAACAUCAACAAACAGGACUAAAUGUGUUGCAGAGUGAAAAGGUGGGGAUGUGCGUGCUGAGGUGGGGUGUUGUAUUCUCAUAGUUGUGGAUUUGGGGGGCAAAGGAGAGCAGUGAGUGGUAAGAUUGCAAGAUAUUAAGGAGUAAUGGAUGUAACAACCAGCCCCUGUAACAAAUUCCCAUAUGCUUUCAUCAUGGCUCGAUAUGGGACUGAUCAAGGGAACAGCCAUUACUUGGUUUCCUACCACUGUUAUCAAAAAGAAACAGUAAAUAGUUAUUGCUAUGGCUCUCCUACUGACAAAAUGGCUUUUACACAUAAUUAGUUAUCAAAUUGUAGCACAAAACGUAAGUGCAAACUGUUUUAAAAAAUGAAGCAAAAGUACAUAUAGUCCAUAAGAGUGUUCAGGUCCAAGAAAAGAAAAAUGUGGUAUGAAGAAUAUCUGGGCAGGAACUUGGAAACUACAUUUAAAGAAAUCUUGAAAAGCUUGUGAAAAUGUGCAACUUUGCAUCCAGAUGGUCCUAAAUUCAAGGAGAUAAGAAUGAGAUGUAUUCUGUGAUUUGAUAAACAUUAGAACCGCCCUGUUUUUGAGAGAACAAAAAGGCAUUCUUGACAUCUUGCCCGACCUGCAGAUAAUAUUUGUUGUUCAGAGACUGGCUUUCUUUUGUUCCAGGUUGUUAUAAACCCAAGACACUUGAAAUUUAAACCCAGUUCAAGAAAUAUUAUUAGCCACAGGGCAAGGUAAAUCUCUUGGCGGGGCCUUUCAAAGGGUUGCCCUGGGUUUGUUUACAAUUGAUCUUAUUUAAAAGUGGAUUUUUUGUUUUAUUUUUCAAAGACAUACUUUCUGCCGUGAUCUUGUAGGUCAAAGGAACGAUGAAUGUACUUCUAGCAAUUGGAGCAGAAAAGGGGGAAAAAAGGAAUUAAUAAAAAGACAGUAAUACAGAAAGCCCUGUUGUGCCACUGGUUAUUUCCAGGUCUCCAACAUGUAAAAUAGAAAACACAUGCAAGAUAGCAUCUCCAACUAAAGCAAAAAAAGAGUUUAAGAAGAGCAAGAGAGCAUAUCAUUAUUAGACUUGAACUACCUGAACACUUUUUAUUUUGGGUGAUUUAUUGAAAU